ensembl:misc_RNA Metazoa_SRP Metazoan signal recognition particle RNA
GCCAGGCGUGGAGGUGCGUGCCUGUAAUCCCAGUUACUUGGGAGGCAGAGGUGGGAGGAUCACUUGAGCCCGGGAGGUUGAGGCUGCAGUGAGUUGUGAUUGCACCACUGCACUCCAGCCUGGGUGACAGAGUGAGACCCUUUCUCCA